rfam:Gorilla gorilla gorilla genomic chromosome, chr1, whole genome shotgun sequence
UGAAAUCGGCAGCUUCAAUCUGUGUGAAUUACGAAGUACUUGUACAACACCAUAUCAAGAUAGCUAAUGUACACUCGAUUGAAGAGGACAACCUUCUGCAACGGAGAAGGACUGUUCUUCAUUCAAGGGUGUAUGAGUAGCUGCACUCCCCUACUAGAAACUCCAAACAAGUUCUCAAAAUAGCUAAAUACUAUUUACACGGUGAACCAUAGUUGCCUUUAAGCGAUUGCAUUCUGCAGGUUUCCAU